UACAAGCUUAGAGGCCUUCUAGCUAUGUGCGCUUAUUAUAUAAAAGCUGAAAGCAACAAUUUUGUCCUAAACCCGGCCCGCAGUCUCUGUAGAAGAACAUCAAACCUGAGAGAUUGAACUGCACAAGGAUACGAAUUCGGAAGCCUUUUCACCAUGAGAGCUAAGUGGAAGAAGAAGCGUAUGAGGAGGUUGAAGAGGAAGAGAAGAAAGAUGAGACAAAGAUCUAAGUAGUUUAAUCGUAUUUAGAGCUAUUAACAUUGGAUCUCCUUUCCUUAGAAUUUUCUGUUGUUUGAUGAGUACAUUUUGGUUUGAAGUAUUAGUGGUUUAGUUUUGUAUUUUUGUUGAACCAUUUUCAUCUUCCGAUGUUAACUUUAUUUUUAAUGGGUGCUAGUCUUUUGCUUA